CUGAUAUUAGUGGCUCAUUAGUGCCACCUGCUGUAAUGUUGAGUGAAAAUCACUUUGAAGCGUUUAGUCCCAUUAAAAACUGUGGGCUAAAAUUCUGACCACUACACACUUACUAUUAUAAGUUAUUUACAAAAUCAAGUAUACUUACAACCAAUUUCCCGGGUGCAGAGUAAAGUACCACACGGAACCAGAGAGUGAGUAAAAGCAAGGCCCAAGUUUUAUUGUUCCGUUCCACCACACGAGAUCCACACCGUUGAGAGUCUCAAAAGUGAUCUAACAUCCGGAGCUGAAGCUCCCUUAUUCAUACAGUUUUCUAAACCCAAACACCAAUAUGUUUAGAAAAAGCUUUCCCGUUAUACCAUUACGUACACGACUCAACAUUUUUGAGAGACCUUGUACUCACGGGGUCCGCUGUUCCCAUCGACAGUUAUCGUGCGGCUCUAGCCGUUCCCAUCGACUGUUAUCUGCCGCCCUAGCCAUUCCCAUCCACCGUUAUCUGCCGCCCUAGCCAUUCCCAUCCACUGUUAUCUGCCGCCCUAGCCGUCCAUCCACCGUUAUCUGCCGCCCUAGCCAUUCCCAUCCACCGUUAUCUGCCGCCCUAGCACGGCUCAAAUAUAUUAUAAACGACCCGUCUUGAUUCUCUCUUAAAAAUUAAGGCCUUCGUCUGUGUCACCCCUGACUUGUUUCUCGUGAGAAGAGGAUUCUCCACACCUUCACGCACAUUAUGGGUGCCCGUCACUUUUCCUUAACUCCUUUACUGGAGGGGCUGGAUUUGGAUCUGAACACUCGCUUUCAGCUUGCGCCUCUCACUGCUGACAUCACUAUGCUACUCGAAGUUCUUCGCACCUCCUCUGGACAUGCAGGGUUCCCCCCACCUCUCAGAUAUAGAAUCCACACAGCAAAUGUGUGUGUUGUCUACACAGACAGACCCUCUGCCUGACCCUUCCUCCAACUACCAGACUGAUGAUGACGUGGCCUUCUCCGACCCAGGCUCUGAUCACUCUCCCCGUACACCUCAGCUGGCUAUCCCACAUCUCCUGGGCGCACCCCAUUUUACCAUCCAUUUUCUCCCUACCGCUCUCUCCCGCUAUCUCCUGCUCUCGGAUUACCGGCCCACCAGCCCAGUGAAUUCUCAAUAAAGUCAGCGCUGUAAAUUCCCAAUAAAGUUACUUACUACUUA
ensembl:lncRNA